rnacentral:rRNA from 1 species
UGGGGAAUAUUGGACAAUGGGCGCAAGCCUGAUCCAGCCAUGCCGCGUGAGUGAUGAAGGCCCUAGGGUUGUAAAGCUCUUUUACCGGUGAAGAUAAUGUCGGUAACCGGAGAAGAAGCCCCGGCUAACUUCGUGCCAGCAGCCGCGGUAAUACGAAGGGGGCUAGCGUUGUUCGGAUUUACUGGGCGUAAAGCGCACGUAGGCGGACUUUUAAGUCAGGGGUGAAAUCCCGGGGCUCAACCCCGGAACUGCCUUUGAUACUGGAAGUCUUGAGUAUGGUAGAGGUGAGUAGAAUUCAGGGUGUAGAGGUGAAAUUCGUAGAUAUUCGGAGGAACACCAGUGGCGAAGGCGGCUCACUGGACCAUUACUGACGCUGAGGUGCGAAAGCGUGGGGAGCAAACAGG